AGGCAACUGAGUUUGCUGCUUCUGCUGCUGAGCCGCCGCAGCUGAACGCUUCUUGGGUGAAGACGCCGGUGCCGCUGCGGCGAUUUUCUGUCAUCUAACAAAUGGAAAGUGUUUGCUGUCGCCAUUUUUGGAAAGCCGGCGCGACAUGAAGUGCGACGAAGCAGACCAGAGAGAGAAUGGCGAAGCUGGGAGUGCAACGGGGCAGACCAAAGAGAGAGUGAGAGGAAGCAGGUCAGAGAGAGAAAAGGAUCCCUGUGGUUUACCUUUUAUUUUCCUUCUUUUUUUUUAUUCCUAAAAUUUGUGAGGCUGACACCUAGAUGAAAGUUCCACAGCAAAUAUACAAGUAGGAGAGGAGAUUAAGUUAAACACCUUCAUUUUUCACCCUAGAUCUCCGCAGCCUCACCUUCUUCCUCUGCCUCCAACUGCUGCUUCUCCUCUCCAACCACUCCAAGGUUCCCUGUGUCUCCGUCGGUGAGAUUCGCCAGAGAGAUGGAUCGUGGGUUUAUUCGCUAGGAAGGCCCAAAUGAAAUAAAUUAUAUCCCCGUUGGAUGAAAAACUCUAUGAUUGGGUUGGGUCUGGGAGACACUUCACUCACAAUCUUAUUUCUCAUUCAUCUUCUAUUCUCUUCACGUGUGUUUUGUUUCUCUAAUUCUCUCAAUCAAAUUUUAGUCUCAGGCGUCUUCUCCAAUAAUCCCAACGAACAAGUGUCAAGACUGGCCUCGCAGAUUAAUCAAUGGAUAGAAAAAAGCACAGAAUCAUGAUGGUCUCUGAUUUUUUCUAUCCCAACUUUGGUGGCGUCGAGAACCACAUCUAUUAUCUCUCUCAGUGCUUACUCAAGCUAGGCCACAAGGUAGUGGUUGUAACUCAUGCGUAUGGAAACCGAUCUGGGGUUAGAUACAUGACUGGCGGUUUGAAAGUUUACUAUGUUCCGUGGAGGCCUUUUGUUAUGCAGAACUCAUUCCCAACCCUAUUUCCUUCACUCCCCAUUAUUAGAACCAUUCUCAUUCGAGAAAGAAUCACUAUUGUCCAUGGACAUCAAGCAUUUUCCACUCUAUGUCAUGAAGCUCUCAUGCAUUCUAGAACCAUGGGGUACAGGGUUGUAUUCACGGAUCAUUCUCUCUAUGGAUUUUCGGAUGCUGGAAGCAUACAUAUGAACAAGGUCUUGCAGUUCACAUUGGCUGAUGUGAGUCAGGCCAUAUGUGUUUCGCAUACGAGCAAGGAGAAUACAGUGUUACGGUCGGGGCUGCCCCCGGAGAAGGUUUUUGUUAUACCUAAUGCUGUGGACACUGCAAUGUUCAAGCCAGCGGUGGUGCAGCCGAGCCACUCGGAGAUUGUUAUUGUUGUUAUUAGCCGGUUGGUUUAUCGCAAGGGAGCAGAUUUGCUUGUUGAAGUCAUUCCAGACGUAUGCCGUCUGCAUCCCAAUGUUCGUUUCAUUGUUGGAGGUGAUGGACCUAAGCGUGUGCGGUUGGAGGAGAUGAGAGAAAAACAUUCUCUUCAAGAUCGAGUUGAAAUGUUGGGAGCUGUGCCACAUGCACAAGUCCGUUCUGUUCUAAUAUCAGGACAUAUCUUCUUAAACAGUUCCUUAACUGAAGCUUUCUGUAUAGCCAUAUUAGAGGCUGCUAGUUGUGGAUUGUUAACAGUUAGCACACGUGUUGGAGGAGUUCCCGAAGUUUUACCAGAUGACAUGAUCAUUUUGGCAGAACCUGAUCCUGGUGAUAUGGUGCUUGCAAUUGAAAGGGCAAUAUCAAUGCUGCCAAAAGUUGAUCCACAAGUCAUGCACAACCGGAUGAGGGAACUCUAUAACUGGCAUGAUGUUGCCAAAAGGACUGAAAUUGUAUAUGAUCGUGCUUUGAAGUGCCCCAAUCAAAAUCUACUUGAACGGCUCUCACGAUACCUUUAUUGCGGAGUGUGGGCAGGCAAGCUGUUUUUCCUGGUUAUGAUAGUUGAUUUUUUGUUUUGGCGGCUAUUGGAACUAUGGCAGCCUGCAGAGGACAUUGAGGAGAUUCCAGAUUUAACUCUUCCACACAUCUCCAACAAAGAGACAUUGCAAGAAACCGAAUGAAAUGCGUAUUGUGAUACUGAAUUUUCAUUACUGUCUAGUAUGCAAUGCAGAAUACAAAGAGGAUAUUUUAUUGUACAGUUGGCUUCAUUGCAUCGCUGGACUAGGCAGCUUCUGCACCAGAAAUCAGAGGCAUGAAGCAUGUGGAUUGCUAUUUAGAUUGUAGUGAGCCAAGUUCACCAUUAACACACAAAGCCUCUUCUUCUUUCUCUUUGGAUUGUCGCUGCACCGCGGCUCUGUUCCGCCAUCCGCCUUUCCUCUUAGGGUACCAACGCUCUAGAAAAGUGUUGAUAGCUUUGUGGCAUCGGAAAAUGAGACUUGGAGGGAGAGAAUGAGGGUGUCAAAAUUCUCCAAAGCACAGAAUCUCCGUGGGGACUGUCCCGAAUGGAGAGCCAAAGGCGGGGAAUUUUUUCGGUAGGGAUGAGGAUGGGGACUAAAAUCCCUCAGGUAGCGUUUGGUGGAGAGAUAGAUACUGAAAGACUGAGACUGAGAGACAGAGACUAAGAGACAGAGACUGAAAUAAGUUUUAGUAUUCUAUUUGGUGUCAAGUGAGAGACAAAAAUUGAAACAAGAAUAAAACUCUAAUUUAAUUUGCACAAAGGAUAAAAUUGGAAUUAAUUAAUUAAAAUGAGAGUAUUUUAGGUAUAAAAUAUUAUUAAAGUUUCAGUCUCUGUUUCUAAAAAUAUCAGUCCCUUGUGUCCCUACAUUUUGGAGGUACUGAAAUACUGAAAUUUUGGGACAGAGACAGAAACUUUAGUACUAGUCUCUGAGCCAACAAACAUGAUACUAUGUCUCAGUCUCUCAGUCUCUGUCCCAGUACUGCAAAACAAACGCUACCUCAGAGACAGGCGCGGAGACUCGAGUGGGGAUCUCCGUCUCGUCCCAGAUAAUUCUCCAAAUUCUUAAAUUUUACUUAAAUACCCUUAAUUUGUUUUUAAUAUAGGAGUUUUUUAGUAAUUUCACUUAUUGAAAACCCUAACCCUACCUUAUUGAAUGUCUUCCCUUCUCUCUUACUACUCCACUUAGCACCGUCCCCAAGUCCCAACUCUCCAGAAAAGUUCAAAACUCCCAUAGCUGUCACAGCCAUAGCACCAAACCGUCCUUGCGAAUCGCCACCGACCACUCCUCUUGCUCAAUGCUUACCGUUACUGCACCAUCACCCUCACAGCUUCACCGCGUUAUUCUCUCUCUUCAGUCACGGUGUCCUUCCCCUCUCCACUCUUGUGUCUGAGUGAUUGCGUCCAUUCUCGUUACUGUCGCCGCAUCCAUUCUCCCCUCUCCGCCGUCGCAUUCCACUCUCCGCCCUCUCUUCGCUGCUCGUCGUCUACUGGAGAGCAUCGCCGCUGACGUUGUAGCAGCCACCGGUUGCCCCUCUUCCAAUCCUCUUCCUCCUCCCCAUUCACUUGACUUCAGGUUUGAUUCUCUAUCCUUCUAUGUAUCUGAAGCAAUUAGACAUAUAGGGUUUAUAAUUAUGAAGUUAGGGUUUCAUACUCCUCCUUUGUAAUCAGUUAUGUAUUUUCUGAAUUUUGAAUAUUGUGAGGCAGUGUCUGACUUAUUUGGUGUCGAGGUGCCAUCAUCUAAAUUCUCGUGAGGAGGUUGGGGUGGUACCUGCAAGAGAUUCCAAUGCUUAAGUCAACAAGGACUUUAGAUAGGUUUGUUUUUUUUUAGAUCAAAACGUAAAUUAUAGUUCAGGAGUGUCAUUGUAUUUAUAGUAGAAUGUUAACCACCUUUGUUGGAAAAGUUCUACCUUUAUGGGUAGAUGAUCGUUCCCUUUAUCUUGGGUGUUGUUAAGACCUAUCUUUUAGAGAAGAUAAAGAUAGUAAAAAAGAUUUGCGGAGGCAGUUUCUUGCUUGAACAAGAAGAGUUGGGCUCUUUUCAUGGUGUCCGACCUCCUUAAAGAGGUCGGGUAUGGGUUGGAGGCCCCCUCUGUGUGAGUCGGACCUUUUCUCCUUAUUGGGCCUGUCUUUUAUCCAUUGGGUCAGAGUAUGAACAAUAACAAUAAUAUUGAGGCACCAGGAUUGUCCACUAGUAUUCAACCAUCUUUUCUAUUGUCAAAUGU